AUUGAAAAUACAAAUGGUGAAAAC
rnacentral:siRNA from 1 species